AAAAAAAAAAAAAAAAAAACUUAAUCCAACAACACUAUAGCAGCCUAAGAAUUUACAAAUAUGGAGAGAGAAGAGGAGGGAGGAGGAGCAGGGGAAGCAGCUCAUCCCAAAAAAUUUCAACCUACAUCUCGGAGUGGAACUAAAUCUCAUUCUCAUUGAGUUAAGUGCUGCUAUUCUGCUCAGCCGUAAAAGUAAUGGGAAGGAAUUUUGUCAUUGUUCAGUAUCACAUGAAUGAUCUUGUAGAGGUUGCAUAAAAGUCAGUAAUGGCAACAUUGUGGAGCCCAAUCAUUGACGAUUAUGGCUUGAACAUAACUUUUGAAAGUGAAAAUCAAAGAAAUUCAGUAGUCAUCAGAUGAAGAAAAUAAUUAUUAGGAAAUAGGAUUUCUUUUAAAUGUGGCUGAAGAUAAGAGUUGAAUGGAAAAAGGAAACAAGAGAAGGAACAAAACCUACCCAGCAAUCUUAAUUGACUGGUCAUCAAAGUCAUACUGAGUUGGGUCUGGAAUCCACUAUUGCAAGAUGUCUUUGCAUUAUUUACAAGGAUACACACAUGCAAUAAGACCACAGAGUCACGCCCAAGCCCUUUGAUUAAUCAAAUUGGGUUUCAUUUUUGAAUCACAUAUCCACGUGUGAUUGAGGUUUAUGUUUCAAACUGAAAACCAAACCUGGACUAAAACCAAAGACUUUAGAUUCAACACAGCAUUUUUCUAGGGCGAUGGUGCCAUGUAAUUGAAGCCAUUGGAAGCCAAAGGAGGUCAAGAUAUAAGCAUUCCUUGAAUGCAAUUUCAUAAAAUGGGAACAAUAGCCAAAGGCAUGCCAAACUGCCAGGCAUGUUUGGCCAUCCAAAUAAGAACCUUUAAAUAUUUGUAAAUAUUAAAAGAAAUAAAUAGAAAGCACCUCUGAUAAACCUUACAUAACAGACAGUUUAUCAUGCAAGUGUACUUUCCAUAGUUAUAAAACACAGCAUGAUCAAAAUUAUAGUCCACGUCACAACAGAGUAACAAUCAUGGCAAUUGUGGCAUAACAUUUAAGUCAAGUUCAAAGUGAAAACACAAAAUCUAACAUUUUCACGUCAACACAAAUCAUAAUUCUAAAAAUAAUAUGGAAAAGAAGGGUUAAAAAAAAUUAUGAGUUGAAAUAUAGUAAUAUUUUAACUAUGUCUUAAGAAGAGUACCCAACAAAGAUAGAAUGUAAUUUUUUUGAGCGAAGAUAUUGAUUUUGGCAAGAAAAAUAAAGUUAAUUCUCUGAAAUUACAAGAAAUUUUAAUAUUAUUAGCACAAAAUAAAGAAGAACAAGCAAAUUAUGCAAAAGUAAUUGCACAAGUUUUCAGGCUUUAAAGCUUGACGGUAUAAUGAUCUGUACAUAACAAUCACAUAAAAGGCCCCAUAUUGGCAAAUACUUUUUCAACACACAAAAUCAAAGAGAACUGUCACCUGGCAGGUUCAAAUUCUAAUUCUCAGAAUGUAUCAGGAAUUCUUUCAUAAACAAGUUUCUCAAGUCCCAAACCAAAAUAGUAACAAUUAAAUAAUAGGUUCAAAGCUUGACCUUCCUCUGAUAAUGCCUUCAGUAGUUUGUUGAACAGGACUGAAUCAUAUAAGCAUAAUAUUGAUGCUUUAAAACAUCAAGCACUUAUCCAAUACACAAAAUUAAACCAAUCGAUCAUCUUGUGGAUUCAAUUUCAGUACUCAAAUGGCCUAUUCAUGCUCUUUUGAGAUAAAGUUUCCACUUAAAAUCAAUAAAUGUAAACUAAGUCACCUGUGUGAGCACAGCAUACAUAUAUUAAAAAAUCAAUUAUAAGAAAAAUAUUGCAAAGGAGAAAGAAAAUACAGCGAGUCACACAUGAAAUGCAAUGACUAGUUAAGCAUUUCUCCCGCCCUUAGACAUGUUUUAACAAAUUAAAUACUCAAAACUUAACAGACAUGUUUAUUUACCUCGAUUUCACACACUUCUUCGUAGACUCUCCAUAUAUUUGAAUCCCGGAC
rnacentral:misc_RNA from 1 species